rnacentral:rRNA from 1 species
ACACGACUACAUUAGAUACCCGGGUAGUCCUAGCCGUAAACGAUACUCGCUAGGUGUCGGCCACGGUGCGACCGUUGUCGGUGCCGUAGGAAAGCCGUGAAGCGAGCCACCUGGGAAGUACGGCCGCAAGGCUGAAACUUAAAGGAAUUGGCGGGGGAGCACAACAACGGGUGGAGCUUGCGGUUUAAUUGGAUUCAACGCCGGAAAUCUUACCGGGACCGACAGCAACAUGAAGGCCAAGCUGAAGACUUUGCCGGAUUAGCUG